rnacentral:rRNA from 1 species
UACGAAGGGGGCGAGCGUUGUUCGGAUUUACUGGGCGUAAAGAGCGUGUAGGCGGCUUGGUAAGUCCGCUGUGAAAGUCCAGGGCUCAACCCUGGAAAGCCGGUGGAAACUGUCAAGCUUGAGUCCGGAAGAGGCGAGUGGAAUUCCUGGUGUAGCGGUGAAAUGCGCAGAUAUCAGGAGGAACACCAAUGGCGAAGGCAGCUCGCUGGGACGGUACUGACGCUGAGACGCGAAAGCGUGGGGAGCAAACAGG